rnacentral:rRNA from 1 species
GACGAACGCUGACGGUGUGCUUUAGACAUGCAAGUCGAACGAGAAAGCCCUUCGGGUGAGUACAGUGGCGAACGGGUGAGUAACACGUGGGCAACCUGCCCCUCGCAGGGGGACGAACCGGAGGAAACUACCGGCUAAUACCCCGUAAGCUUGUUGGGUCGCAUGACCCUUCAAGGAAAGGUAGCUUCGGCCAUCCGGCGAGGGAUGGGCCCGCGGUACAUUAGCUAGUUGGUGGGGUAACGGCCCACCAAGGCGACGANGUAUAGCUGGUCUGAGAGGAUGAUCAGCCACACUGGGACUGAGACACGGCCCAGACUCCUACGGGAGGCAGCAGUCGGGAAUCUUGCGCAAUGGGCGAAAGCCUGACGCAGCAACACCGUGUGAGCGACGAAGGCCUC